AUUGAACGCUGGCGGCAGGCCUAACACAUGCAAGUCGAACGAGUGGCGGACGGGAGAGAAACGUCUGGGACACUGCUCGAAGGAGGGGGAAAACUACUGGAAACGGUAGCUAAUACCGCAUACCAUCGGAUGUGCCCAGAUGGGAUUAGCUAGUAGGUGGGGUAACGGCUCACCUAGGCGACGAUCCAUAGCUGGUCUGAGAGGAUGACCAGCCACACUGGAACUGAGACACGGUCCAGACUCCUACGGGAGGCAGCAGUGGGGAAUAUUGCGCAAUGGGCGCAAGCCUGAUGCAGCCAUGCCGCGUGUAUGAUGAAGGCCUUCGGAUUGUAAAGUACUGUCAGCGAGGAGGCGUUACUCACAGAGAAAGCACCGGCUAACUCCGUGCCAGCAGCCGCGGUAAUUC
rnacentral:rRNA from 1 species